rnacentral:rRNA from 1 species
UACGAAGGGGGCUAGCGUUGUUCGGAUUUACUGGGCGUAAAGCGCACGUAGGCGGAUCGUUAAGUCGGGGGUGAAAUCCUGGAGCUCAACUCCAGAACUGCCUUCGAUACUGGCGAUCUUGAGUCCGGAAGAGGUGAGUGGAACUCCUAGUGUAGAGGUGGAAUUCGUAGAUAUUAGGAAGAACACCAGUGGCGAAGGCGGCUCACUGGACCGGUACUGACGCUGAUGCGCGAAAGCGUGGGGAGCAAACGGG